rnacentral:rRNA from 1 species
GACGAACGCUGGCGGCGUGCCUAAUACAUGCAAGUUGAGCGCUGAAGGUUGGUACUUGUACCCACUGGAUGAGCAGCGAACGGGUGAGUAACGCGUGGGGAAUCUGCCUUUGAGCGGGGGACAACAUUUGGAAACGAAUGCUAAUACCGCAUAAAAACUUUAAACACAAGUUUUAAGUUUGAAAGAUGCAAUUGCAUCACUCAAAGAUGAUCCCGCGUUGUAUUAGCUAGUUGGUGAGGUAAAGGCUCACCAAGGCGAUGAUACAUAGCCGACCUGAGAGGGUGAUCGGCCAAAUUGGGACUGAGACACGGCCCAAACCCCUACGGGAGGCAGCAGGAGGGAAUCUUCGGCAAUGGACGAAAGUCUGACCGAGCAACGCCGCGGGAGUGAAGAAGGUUUUCGGAUCGUAAAACUCUGUUGGUAGAGAAGAACGUUGGUGAGAGUGGAAAGCUCAUCAAGUGACGGUAACUACCCAGAAAGGGACGGCUAACUACGUG